rnacentral:rRNA from 1 species
UAGGGAAUCUUCGGCAAUGGACGGAAGUCUGACCGAGCAACGCCGCGUGAGUGAAGAAGGUUUUCGGAUCGUAAAGCUCUGUUGUAAGAGAAGAACGAGUGUGAGAGUGGAAAGUUCACACUGUGACGGUAUCUUACCAGAAAGGGACGGCUAACUACGUGCCAGCAGCCGCGGUAAUACGUAGGUCCCGAGCGUUGUCCGGAUUUAUUGGGCGUAAAGCGAGCGCAGGCGGUUAGAUAAGUCUGAAGUUAAAGGCUGUGGCUUAACCAUAGUACGCUUUGGAAACUGUUUAACUUGAGUGCAAGAGGGGAGAGCGGAAUUCCAUGUGUAGCGGUGAAAUGCGUAGAUAUAUGGAGGAACACCGGUGGCGAAAGCGGCUCUCUGGCUUGUAACUGACGCUGAGGCUCGAAAGCGUGGGGAGCAAACAGGAUUAGAUACCCUGGUAGUCCACGCCGUACGAUGAGUGCUAGGUGUUAGACCCUUUCCGGGGUUUAGUGCCGUAGCUAACGCAUUAAGCACUCCGCCUGGGGAGUACGACCGCAAGGUU